AUGUGGUUACUUCCUCGUCUCGCGUGCGUGGCGACACAAGUCGCUUGGACCAACUUUUUGUCUUUCUCAGCGCCUGGGCGCCACAAACGGCGAUGACUCCCAACAAAAUGCCUCCUCCCAAUGAUAUGCAUUGACUGUCACUGAAGUUUUUGCUCAACCAAACAUAGCUUGUGAACACAUGGAGCACAAUUGUGCAAUCAAGAAUGAUGCCACUGAACUAAUAGGCAAUACCCCUAUGGUGUAUCUCAACAAGAUGGCAGAUGGCUGUUUUGCCAAGAUUGCUGCCAAACUAGAGUCAAUGGAGCCUUGUUCGAGCGUCAAAGACCGGAUUGCACUCAGUAUGAUACAAGACGCGGAAGAUAAGGGCCUCAUAACACCGGGGAAGAGUGUUCUCAUUGAGACCACAGCGGGAAACACUGGUAUUGGCCUGGCAUGGAUUGCAGCAAUCAAGGGAUAUAGACUCAUUCUUAUAAUGCCAGCUUUAUUCAGCAUGGAGAGAAGAAUUCUGCUACUCGCUUUCGGAGCCGAGCUGCGUAUCACCGACCCGGAAAUGAGUGUUGAUGCUGUUCUAAAGAUGGCUGAGGAUCUAGAAAAAACCACACCCAACGGUUAUUAUAUGAGGCAAUUUGACAAUCCUGCCAAUACAAAAAUUCACUAUGAAACAACUGGCGUGGAGAUAUGGAGAGAUUCUGGUGGAAAAGUUGAUGCACUGGUGGCUGGGGUCGGGACGGGGGGAACGAUAACCGGUGCUGGGAAGUUCCUCAAAGAGCAGAAUCCAAAAAUCAAGGUGUAUGCAGUAGAACCAGUUGAAAGUGCAGCGUUGAGUGGCGGACGACAUGGUGAGUUCCUACUGUUGCAAAUAGACCGUUAGGAAUCCGAAUAUACUAAACGAAACUAAGUAACUAUAUUGCAAUAUCCAAAGAGAAAUUACAAUACCAAUAGUCUUUCGAGAGGGUUAUCUCUCUCCAAAAAUCUUUCCUCACACUAACUAUUUUUCAAGAUGAUCUCCUUCUAUCCUUGCUAUGUCUAUUUAUAACCAAUUCAACCUUAGCUAAUUACCAUAGUACCCUCUACUCAUAUACUAAUAAUAUUUCCCACAUACCUUUAGGAGUACUCUCACAUGAACAUACCCUUCAUACCCUUUUCUUCACUCUGGUGUUUAAAUUUUGUGGUAAUGCUUUCAAAGUUUUGUUGAUCCUUUUCAAAAUAAAAAAAAAAAAGAAAGAAAGUUUUGUUGAUAGAUAAAAGAAAUUUCUUCAAAGACAAUGUCAUGGUAUAUAAAACGCUUCCUAAUACACUAUAAACUUGGGAUGUAAGUGACCUUGUUGGUAAGUUUGGAUGGAAGUCAGAAGUUGUACUUGCUGGUGAAAAACAGAAAGGUGGAACUUUUAUUUAUUUUUCUUUUUGUUUUAUUUGAUAAUCGGGAUAUCAAGGGCCCACUGCUUGCGUUUGUGAAUAUCCAUGUUUUUUUUAUUAAUGAGAAGUCAAGUUUUCGAUAAGAAACAUGGAAGAAACUACGAGAGCAUACAAAAAACAGCCCAUACUAACAAACAAACGGACUCCAAUAAAAAGUAAUAAAACCUAACUUAUAAUUUCCAAAACAAUUUAGUGAUAGAAGUCCAUAAAGAUUCUAUUGUUCCUCUAAGCCCUAAGCUCCACGAGACAGCAAAAAAACAAGUCUACCAAAAAGCUUUUCAUUUAUCACGAAAAGGAAGAAAAUGGAGUGCCUCCUUUAUCAUAGAACAACAAUUCCUAUUACGCACCCAUAAGAUCAGAGAAUAUGAUUGAGAGAUUCUCCAACAUGAGCUUAUACAAACUGCACUUCUGUCGGACCCAACACAAAAGAGGAUGCCUCUAAAUACGAUCUAAGGUGUUAACUUCCCUUACAAAAUUAUGCGAUGCAAAGAAUUGGACCUUUUGAGAUCAUCCUUCCAAAGAGAGGAGACAAAAGAGGCAUCAGUAGGGACGGAGGGCACAUAAAAUCUGGUAGAAAGAGUUACAAGAAAAGCCCCCACAAGGGUUGGGGCCCAAAAACGAACAUCCAUAUUGGCAUCAUCUCAUACAAGGAAUUGGAGCUGGUUUCAUCCCUUCGAUUCUGAACAUCGAAUUGCUCGACGAAGUUAUUCAAGUAAG